rnacentral:rRNA from 1 species
AUUGAACGCUGGCGGCAGGCCUAACACAUGCAAGUCGAACGGUAACAGGAAACAGCUUGCUGUUUCGCUGACGAGUGGCGGACGGGUGAGUAAUGUCUGGGAAACUGCCUGAUGGAGGGGGAUAACUACUGGAAACGGUAGCUAAUACCGCAUAACGUCGCAAGACCAAAGAGGGGGACCCUCGGGCCUCUUGCCAUCGGAUGUGCCCAGAUGGGAUUAGCUUGUUGGUGGGGUAACGGCGCACCAAGGCGACGAUCCCUAGCUGGUCUGAGAGGAUGACCAGCCACACUGGAACUGAGACACGGUCCAGACUCCUACGGGAGGCAGCAGUGGGGAAUAUUGCACAAUGGGCGCAAGCCUGAUGCAGCCAUGCCGCGUGUAUGAAGAAGGCCUUCGGGUUGUAAAGUACUUUCAGCGGGGAGGAAGGGAGUAAAGUUAAUACCUUUGCUCAUUGACGUUACCCGCAGAAGAAGCACCGGCUAACUCCGUG